AGAUUUACUUCGGUAAUGACGUUGGGAAAGCGAGCGGCGGAUGGGUGAGUAACACGUGGGGAACCUGCCCCUAAGUCUGGGAUACCAUUUGGAAACAGGUGCUAAUACCGGAUAAUAAAGCGGAUCGCAUGAUCAGCUUUUGAAAGGCGGCGUAAGCUGUCGCUAAGGGAUGGCCCCGCGGUGCAUUAGCUAGUUGGUAAGGUAACGGCUUACCAAGGCGACGAUGCAUAGCCGAGUUGAGAGACUGAUCGGCCACAUUGGGACUGAGACACGGCCCAAACUCCUAUGGGAGGCAGCAGUAGGGAAUCUUCCACAAUGGACGCAAGUCUGAUGGAGCAACGCCGCGUGAGUGAAGAAGGUUUUCGGAUCGUAAAGCUCUGUUGUUGGUGAAGAAGGAUAGAGGUAGUAACUGGCCUUUAUUUGACGGUAAUCAAUCAGAAAGUCACGGCUAACUACGUGCCAGCAGCCGCGGUAAUACGUAGGUGGCAAGCGUUGUCCGGAUUUAUUGGGCGUAAAGCGAGCGCAGGCGGAAAAAUAAGUCUAAUGUGAAAGCCCUCGGCUUAACCGAGGAACUGCAUCGGAAACUGUUUUUCUUGAGUGCAGAAGAGGAGAGUGGAACUCCAUGUGUAGCGGUGGAAUGCGUAGAUAUAUGGAAGAACACCAGUGGCGAAGGCGGCUCUCUGGCCUGCAACUGACGCUGAGGCUCGAAAGCAUGGGUAGCGAACAGGAUUAGAUACCCUGGUAGUCCAUGCCGUANACGAUGAGUGCUAAGUGUUGGGAGGUUUCCGCCUCUCAGUGCUGCAGCUAACGCAUUAAGCACUCCGCCUGGGGAGUACGACCGCAAGGUUGAAACUCAAAGGAAUUGACGGGGGC
rnacentral:rRNA from 1 species